GGGGUUGUGGCUCAGUGGUAGAGCACACACCUAGCAUGCAUGACGUACUGAGUUCAAUCCUCAGCAUCCCA
rnacentral:tRNA from 1 species